CAACAGAACUGUAAUUCCCUCCAGGUCCAGAUCACUACUGAGCAUGCAUUGCUCCUUCCCUUCUCCAAGAGAAGACUGCUGAACAAAAACUGCACCUGGAGAAUAUGGAGGGUGACAUCCGUCACAUUCAAGCAGCAACUUGCAGCAGUUUGCUCUAAACCCCAUUUUGUGAGUAAGUGCUGCAGGUGAAGAUCAAAGCACUCUUCAAGUGGGUUCUGGGUCAUGCACAGGCACAAAGCUGAGAGGGGGGAGGUCUUCCCAACAUUUACAGGAAAUGUGCCACCACCUGAUGACUCAUCCCAGCAACAUUUUCAGCAACAUGAGUUUCACCUAAAUGGUGGCAAUAAUUCUGUG
rnacentral:lncRNA from 1 species